CUCCACGACGUUGACACAGAUCAAAUGACCCUUUCGCCUUUUACUAAAGAGUCCUGUGUGUGAGCGUCACAACGUGGAGUUGUCAAUUUUUGGAUCCCUCACUUUCUUUUGUUAU
rnacentral:snRNA from 1 species